rnacentral:rRNA from 1 species
UACGUAGGGGGCAAGCGUUGUCCGGAUUUAUUGGGCGUAAAGAGCGUGUAGGCGGCCAUACAGGUCCGUUGUGAAAACUGGAGGCUUAACCUCCAGACGUCGAUGGAAACCGUAUGGCUAGAGUCCGGAAGAGGAGAGUGGAAUUCCUGGUGUAGCGGUGGAAUGCGCAGAUAUCAGGAGGAACACCUAUGGCGAAGGCAGCUCUCUGGUACGUGACUGACGCUGAGACGCGAAAGCGUGGGGAGCGAACAGG